AUUGAACGCUGGCGGCAUGCCUUACACAUGCAAGUCGAACGGUAACAGGUCUUCGGAUGCUGACGAGUGGCGAACGGGUGAGUAAUACAUCGGAACGUGCCUAGUAGUGGGGGAUAACUACUCGAAAGAGUGGCUAAUACCGCAUGAGAUCUACGGAUGAAAGCAGGGGAUCGCAAGACCUUGUGCUACUAGAGCGGCCGAUGGCAGGUUAGGUAGUUGGUGGGAUAAAAGCUUACCAAGCCGACGAUCUGUAGCUGGUCUGAGAGGACGAUCAGCCGCACUGGGACUGAGACACGGCCCAGAAUCCGACGGGAGGCAGCAGUGGGGAAUUUUGGACAAUGGGCGCAAGCCUGAUCCAGCAAUGCCGCGUGCAGGAUGAAGGCCUUCGGGUUGUAAACUGCUUUUGUACGGAACGAAAAGCCCCGGGUUAAUACCCUGGGGUCAUGACGGUACCGUAAGAAUAAGCACCGGCUAACUACGUGCCAGCCGCCGCGGUAA
rnacentral:rRNA from 1 species